GUGGAUAAUCUGCCCUAUGGUGGAGGAUAACCCCGGGAAACUGGGGAUAAUACUCCAUAAGUCAGGAGUACUGGAAUGUCUCCUAACUGAAAGUUGCGGCGCCAUAGGAUGAAUCUGCGGCCGAUUAGGUAGUUGUUGGGGUAACGGCCCAUCAUGCCCGUAAUCGGUACGGGUUGUGGGAGCAAGAGCCCGGAGAUGGAAUCUGAGACACGAUUCCAUGCCCUACGGGGCGCAGCAGGCGCGAAAACUUUACAAUGCAGGAAACUGUGAUAAGGGAACCCCGAGUGCCCGUACACCGCGGGCUGUCCCGGUGUUUAAAACACAUCGGAAGAAAGGGCCGGGGCAAGACCGGUGCCAGCCGCCGCGGUAAUACCGGCGGCUCGAGUGGUGACCACUUUUAUUUGGGCUUAAAGCGUUCGUAGCUUGAUUUUUUAAGUUCUCUUGGGAAAUCCUCACGGCUUAACUGUGAGGCGGUCUAAGAGAUACUGGGAAUCUAGGGACCGGGGAGAGGUAGAAGGUACUUUCAGGGGUAGAGGUGAAAUC
rnacentral:rRNA from 1 species